rnacentral:rRNA from 1 species
GAUGAACGCUGGCGGCGUGCCUAAUACAUGCAAGUCGAGCGAACAGACGAGGAGCUUGCUCCUCUGACGUUAGCGGCGGACGGGUGAGUAACACGUGGAUAACCUACCUAUAAGACUGGGAUAACUUCGGGAAACCGGAGCUAAUACCGGAUAAUAUAUUGAACCGCAUGGUUCAAUAGUGAAAGACGGUUUUGCUGUCACUUAUAGAUGGAUCCGCGCCGCAUUAGCUAGUUGGUAAGGUAACGGCUUACCAAGGCGACGAUGCGUAGCCGACCUGAGAGGGUGAUCGGCCACACUGGAACUGAGACACCGUCCAGACUCCUACGGGAGGGAGCAGUAGGGAAUCUUCCGCAAUGGGCGAAAGCCUGACGGAGCAACGCCGCGUGAGUGAUGAAGGUCUUCGGAUCGUAAAACUCUGUUAUUAGGGAAGAACAAAUGUGUAAGUAACUAUGCACGUCUUGACGGUACCUAAUCAGAAAGCCACGGCUAACUACGUG